ensembl:lncRNA
GCAGGGUUUGGUGUCAGGAGCUUUUCAGGGUGUUGUGUCAGUUAGUUUUGUACUAUGUGGUGUCAGGGUUGGUUGGCAGAGUUUGGUGUAAGGGUAUUUGCAUGAGUUUGGUGUGAGGAUUUUAUCAUGGUUUGUGUCAAGGAGUUUUGCAAUGUUCGGUGUCAGGGUGUUUAGUAGGAUGUGGCAUCAUAUAGUUUAGCAGGGUUUGUUGUCAGGGAGUUUAGCAGGGUGUGGUGUCAGGGAGUUUAGCAGGAUGUGGUGUCAGGUGGUUUAGCAGGAUGUGGUGUCAGGUAUUUUAGCAGGAUGUGGUGUCAGGUAGUUUAGCAGGAUGUGGUGUCAGGUUGCUUAGCAGGAUGUGGUAUCAGAAAGUUUAGCAGGAAGUGGUGUCAGGUAGUUUAGCAGGAUGUGGUGUCAGGUAGUUUAGCAGGAUGUGGUGUCAGGUGGUUUAGCAGGAUGUGGUGUCAGGUGGUUUAGCAGAAUGUGGUGUCAGGUGGUUUAGCAGGAUGUGGUGUCAGGGGGUUUAGCAGGAUGUGGUGUCAGGUAGUUUAGCAGGAUGUGGUGUCAGGUGGUUUAGCAGGAUGUGGUGUCAGAAUAUUCGGGACCCCACACGUUUAACUGUGGUGAAGCUACAUGUUUUGAAGAAUGAGCAUGAUACUUACAAGGUGCUUAAUCUACUUAUAAUAUUAUUCCAUGAUAAACACCAAGUGACCUCCUAUUCAUGAUGGAUUAAGUAGAUUGUGGUUGGUAGUUAAAGCCUUUCUCUCAGUCUCAGCAACUUCAAUUUUGCAAAUUCACAGUUACAAACAUCCUACAUCACGUGUCCUACAUGUCUCUAAUUGAUGAUAAUUUAUUUUGGUUAACA